AUUAAACGCUGGCGGCAUGCCUUACACAUGCAAGUCGAACGGCAGCACGGGGCAACCUGGUGGCGAGUGGCGAACGGGUGAGUAAAGCAUCGGAACGUGCCCUGGAGUGGGGGAUAACGUAGCGAAAGUUACGCUAAUACCGCAUAUUCUGUGAGCAGGAAAGCAGGGGAUCGCAAGACCUUGCGCUCUGGGAGCGGCCGAUGUCGGAUUAGCUAGUUGGUGGGGUAAAGGCCUACCAAGGCGACGAUCCGUAGCGGGUCUGAGAGGAUGAUCCGCCACACUGGGACUGAGACACGGACCAGACUCCUACGGGAGGCAGCAGUGAGGAAUAUUGGUCAAUGGGCGAGAGCCUGAGCCAGCCAAGUCGCGUGAAGGAAGAAGGUUCUAUGGAUUGUAAACUUCUUUUGCAGGGGAAUAAAGGACGGUACGUGUACUGUUUUGUAUGUACCUUGCGAAUAAGGAUCGGCUAACUCCGUGCCAGCAGCCGCGGUAAGGCUACG
rnacentral:rRNA from 1 species